rnacentral:lncRNA from 1 species
GGUUUUUCUUCCUUUACACCAGCUGGCACACCUGCCCGCAGAGGAGGACGGAUUCUACUGUGCCGUCAAGCUCUCAGGCACUGGGUGCCAACUGGGUCAGUAACCAGGGAGAGGAGGUAACUGGUGUGCCCGUGGGAAACCAGAGCUGGCAUAUCUCAUUAUAACUGUCAACAGAAUGCUUCUUCACUGAGGUUCCAAUGCUGCCACCUCUCCAGCCAGCCCAGCUGGAGUCAGGGUGCCUUCCUCUAAGGGCUCUGACCUCAUCUCCAGUGACUGACCUCACUUGGCCAGAGCUGGAGGGGAUUAGCACCUACAGCCUCCCAGCUGGCAACAUUAGCCACUACCUAGCAACAACAGUGACAAACUUCCAUUUUUUGAGCAGUUACUAUUUGCCAGGCCCUGAGCUACCUACUAAAAAAUUGAGGCUAGAGGAGGUAAAGCUGCUCACCCAAGUGGCGCAGCUGGAAAGGGGAAAAAGGCGGAUUCAACACUUACCUCUGGAGACCUGGGGGAUGGUCUGUCAUACAUACAUCCUGGGACCUUUCAGAGGCUCUGGGUCCCAACCUCCAUUUUGGCCUGGGCUCCUGUCUCUGUUUCUGGCUUUUGUCUGCCUCUGGGUCUGAAGCCCUAACCGAAUCUGCUUAAUUCUGGGGCAUGGCAUGGUGCGCAGGACACACACUGACUUUGUUAACAGACAGACUGAGGUUCAAAUCCUACUUUCUAACUGUGUGACCUUGAGGGAGUCCCUAAAUUCUUGCUGAGCCAUAAUAAUUACCUCUACAACAUGGGGUAGUGGUAUUACCUCACAGGGUGAAUGUGAGGAUUAAAUAAGAUAAUAUGUUAAAAGUGCUUACUUCCACCUGAGUGUUCAAUACAUGGCAGUGAGACACCCAGUGUCCAAUCAGGCAUGUAAGGGGCUUGGACGUUGUCUCUCUGUCAUAAUAAUAACUAAAAGGUUGAACAAACUGGAAAAUCAACAAUUCUUAGAUCCUGUAGAGGAGUGAGAUCACAGGGCAAACCACUGCCCUCAAAAUUGAAGAGACAGAAAAGCAGAUACUCCCAAGUAGAAACCUCCUCUAGAACCAGUACCAGGACAGGACCUCCUAACCUGUAAUUGAAGAACUGCUGGAGGCUCAGUAUGGGCAAAUCUGAACGUUAAACAUUCCAGCAAGAUCCAGCCAUAGGGGCGCACCCACAUGUUUGUGAGUUUAAUCUUCAGGAUCUCUAUCGGGUCCUCCCAGUGAAUGUCAGAGAAAAAUCUCCUUGUGCUUUCAGCAGGGGGAUGGGAAAAGUGACCAUUUUGAAAUAUGCCAGAGCAUUCUGUUCUUAACAAGGCCUGCUUUCAAGAGAAACUAUUUCAGCCCAGCCCAAUCUUCUGGAGCUUAAUCAGAGCCUAGCUGACCUGAGGGAGGGGAAAUAGCCAACUCCACACCCCUCUCUGUCCCACCUAAGGGGAGAAAAAAAAAUGGAGAAGCACUGGUGAACUUCACAGCCCAGGAGGGUUCCCCGGCUCAUGAAAAGACUGAGGACUAAUCACAGGACUGUGGAACACCACCCCUGCCCCACACCUCCUCCACCACAUUGCUAAAGGCCUAUUUUACGGGAAUUCCUUUUACCCAGUGUAGGAGCCAUGGGAAAACGUUCCCUUCACUCUUGGAAGUUUCACUAAAAAAUCAAUUUACGGGCCGGGCGCGGUGGCUCAAGCCUGUAAUCCCAGCACUUUGGGAGGCCGAGACUGGCGGAUCAUGAAGUCAGGAGAUCGAGACCAUCCUGGCUAACACGGUGAAACCCCGUCUCUACUAAAAGAUACAAAAAAUAUAGCCGGAGAGGUGGCGAGCCUGUAGUCCCAGCUACUCGGGAGGCUGAGGCAGGAGAAUGGCGUGAACCCGGGAGGCGGAGCUUGCAGUGAACCGAGAUC